AGACGGAGGGCGCAAGCGUUGUUCGGAAUUACUGGGCGUAAAGGGCAGGUAGGUGGUCUGUUAAGUCUUCUGUGAAAAUCCGGGGCUCAACCCCGCGAAAUGCAGGUGAAACUGGCAGACUGGAGACCGGUAGAGGCUAGCGGAAUUCCUGGUGUAGCGGUGGAAUGCGUAGAUAUCAGGAAGAACACCUGUGGCGAAGGCGGCUAGCUGGGCCGGUUCUGACACUAAACUGCGAAAGCGUGGGGAGCAAACAGGAUUAGAAACCCGGGUAGUCC
rnacentral:rRNA from 1 species